rnacentral:rRNA from 1 species
AAUAACGACUGGAAACGGUCGCUAAUACCGGAUACGCUUAAGUUUUACCUCUUAAGGAAAGAUGACCUCUAUUUAUAAGUUAUCGUGCAGAGAUGAGUCCGCGUCCCAUUAGCUUGUUGGCGGGGUAACGGCCCACCAAGGCGACGAUGGGUAGCCGAUUUAAGAGGAUGAUCGGCCACAUUGGAACUGAAACACGGUCCAAACUCCUACGGGAGGCAGCAGUGGGGAAUAUUGCGCAAUGGGCGAAAGCCUGACGCAGCGACGCCGCGUGAGGGAUGAAGGUCUUCGGAUCGUAAACCUCUGUCAGAAGGGAAAAAUGUACAGUGCUCCAAUCAACACUGUAUUGAUGGUACCUUCAGAGGAAGCACCGGCUAACUCCGUGCCAGCAGCCGCGGUAAUACGGAGGGUGCAAGCGUUAAUCGGAAUUACUGGGCGUAAAGCGCGCGUAGGUUGUUUUGUAAGUCAGAGGUGUAAUCCCACGGCUUAACCGUGGAACUGCCUUUGAUACUGCAUAACUUGGAUCCGGGAGAGGACAGCGGAAUUCCAGGUGUAGGAGUGAAAUCCGUAGAUAUCUGGAAGAACAUCAGUGGCGAAGGCGGCUGUCUGGACCGGUAUUGACGCUGAGGCGCGAAAGCGUGGGUAGCAAACAGGAUUAGAU